rnacentral:rRNA from 1 species
AGAGUUUGAUCCUGGCUCAGGAUGAACGCUAGCGACAGGCUUAACACAUGCAAGUCGAGGGGCAGCGGGGAGUAGCAAUACUUCGCCGGCGACCGGCGCACGGGUGAGUAACACGUGUGCAACCAACCCCGUACCGGGAGAUAACCCGCGGAAACGUGGACUAACAUCCCAUGAGACUCUAGAUCCGCAUGGCUCUAGAUUUAAAAUUCCGGUGGUACGGGACGGGCACGCGCGACAUUAGGUAGUUGGCGGGGUAAGGGCCCACCAAGCCGACGAUGUCUAGGGGUUCUGAGAGGAAGGUCCCCCACACUGGAACUGAGACACGGUCCAGACUCCUACGGGAGGCAGCAGUGAGGAAUAUUGGUCAAUGGGCGAGAGCCUGAACCAGCCAAGUCGCGUGAGGGAAGAAUGGUCUAUGGCCUGUAAACCUCUUUUGUCAGGGAAGAAUAAGGAUGACGAGUCAUUCGAUGCCAGUACUUGACGAAUAAGCAUCGGCUAACUCCGUGCCAGCAGCCGCGGUAAUACGGGGGAUGCGAGCGUUAUCCGGAUUUAUUGGGUUUAAAGGGCGCGUAGGCGGGACGUCAAGUCAGCGGUAAAAGACUGCAGCUAAACUGUAGCACGCCGUUGAAACUGGCGCCCUGGAGACGAGACGAGGGAGGCGGAACAAGUGAAGUAGCGGUGAAAUGCAUAGAUAUCACUUGGAACCCCGAUAGCGAAGGCAGCUUCCCAGGCUCGUUCUGACGCUGAUGCGCGAGAGCGUGGGUAGCGAACAGGAUUAGAUACCCUGGUAGUCCACGCCGUAAACGAUGCUCACUGGAUCUUGGCGAUACACUGCCAGGGUUCAAGCGAAAGUAUUAAGUGAGCCACCUGGGGAGUACGUCGGCAACGAUGAAACUCAAAGGAAUUGACGGGGGCCCGCACAAGCGGAGGAACAUGUGGUUUAAUUCGAUGAUACGCGAGGAACC